rnacentral:misc_RNA from 1 species
GAUGAAGAACGUAGUGAAAUGCGAUAAGUAAUGUGAAUUGCAGAAUUCAGUGAAUCAUCGAAUCUUUGAACGCACAUUGCGCCCCUUGGUAUUCCGGGGGGCAUGCCUGUUCGAGCGUCAUUAUAACCCCUCAAGCUCAGCUUGGUGUUGGGGCCUGCCAACUGGCAGCCCUUAAAAUCAGUGGCGGCGCCAUCUGGCUCUAAGCGUAGUAAUUUCUCUCGCUAUAGGGUCCCGGUGGAUGCUUGCCAACAACCCCCAAUUUUCUAUGGUUGACCUCGGAUCAGGUAGGGAUACCCGCUGAACUUAAGCAUAUCAAUAAGCGGAGGA